CGGACGGGUGAGUAACGCGUGGGUAACCUGCCUUGUACAGGGGGAUAACAGUUGGAAACGGCUGCUAAUACCGCAUAAGCGCACGGCAUCGCAUGAUGCAGUGUGAAAAACUCCGGUGGUAUAAGAUGGACCCGCGUUGGAUUAGCUAGCUGGUGAGGUAACGGCCCACCAAGGCGACGAUCCAUAGCCGACCUGAGAGGGUGACCGGCCACAUUGGGACUGGGACACGGCCCAA
rnacentral:rRNA from 1 species